rnacentral:rRNA from 1 species
AUUGAACGCUGGCGGCAUGCCUUACACAUGCAAGUCGAACGGUAGGGGGGCAACCCCUGAGAGUGGCGAACGGGUGAGUAAUGCAUCGGAACGUGCCCAGUUGUGGGGGAUAACGUAGCGAAAGCUACGCUAAUACCGCAUACGACCUGAGGGUGAAAGCGGGGGACCGUAAGGCCUCGCGCAAUUGGAGCGGCCGAUGUCAGAUUAGCUAGUUGGUGGGGUAAAAGCUCACCAAGGCGACGAUCUGUAGCUGGUCUGAGAGGACGACCAGCCACAGUGGGAAUGAGACACGGCCCAGACUCCUACGGGAGGCAGCAGUGGGGAAUUUUGGACAAUGGACGCAAGUCUGAUCCAGCCAUGCCGCGUGCAGGAAGAAGGCCUUCGGGUUGUAAACUGCUUUUGUCAGGGAAGAAAACUUACCUUCUAAUACGAGGUGAGGAUGACGGUACCUUGAUAAGAAGCACCGGCUAACUACGUGCCAGCAGCCGCCGUAACAC